rnacentral:rRNA from 1 species
UUAAGCGACUAAGCGUACACGGUGGAUGCCCUGGCAGUCAGAGGCGAUGAAGGACGUGCUAAUCUGCGAAAAGCGCCGGCGAGGUGAUAUGAACCUUUGACCCGGCGAUGUCCGAAUGGGGAAACCCAGUGCAAUUCGUUGCACUAUCGUUAACUGAAUACAUAGGUUAACGAGGCGAACCGGGGGAACUGAAACAUCUAAGUACCCCGAGGAAAAGAAAUCAACCGAGAUUCCCCCAGUAGCGGCGAGCGAACGGGGAGCAGCCCGGAGUCUGAAUCAGCUUGUGUGUUAGUGGAACGGUCUGGAAAGUCCGACGGUACAGGGUGAUAGUCCCGUACACGAAAGCACACAUGCUGUGAACUCGAAGAGUAGGGCGGGACACGUGGUAUCCUGUCUGAAUAUGGGGGGACCAUCCUCCAAGGCUAAAUACUCCUGACUGACCGAUAGUGAACCAGUACCGUGAGGGAAAGGCGAAAAGAACCCCGGCGAGGGGAGUGAAAAAGAACCUGAAACCGUGUACGUACAAGCAGUGGGAGCACCUUCGUGGUGUGACUGCGUACCUUUUGUAUAAUGGGUCAGCGACUUAUAUUCUGUAGCAAGGUUAACCGUAUAGGGGAGCCGAAGGGAAACCGAGUCUUAACUGGGCGUUAAGUUGCAGGGUAUAGACCCGAAACCCGGUGAUCUAGCCAUGGGCAGGUUGAAGGUUGGGUAACACUAACUGGAGGACCGAACCGACUAAUGUUGAAAAAUUAGCGGAUGACCUGUGGCUGGGGGUGAAAGGCCAAUCAAACCGGGAGAUAGCUGGUUCUCCCCGAAAGCUAUUUAGGUAGCGCCUCGUGAACUCAUCUUCGGGGGUAGAGCACUGUUUCGGCUAGGGGGCCAUCCCGGCUUACCAACCCGAUGCAAACUACGAAUACCGAAGAAUGUUAUCACGGGAGACACACGGCGGGUGCUAACGUCCGUCGUGAAGAGGGAAACAACCCAGACCGCCAGCUAAGGUCCCAAAGUCAUGGUUAAGUGGGAAACGAUGUGGGAAGGCACAGACAGCCAGGAUGUUGGCUUAGAAGCAGCCAUCAUUUAAAGAAAGCGUAAUAGCUCACUGGUCGAGUCGGCCUGCGCGGAAGAUGUAACGGGGCUAAACCAUGCACCGAAGCUGCGGCAGCGACACUAUGUGUUGUUGGGUAGGGGAGCGUUCUGUAAGCCGUUGAAGGUGUGCUGUGAGGCAUGCUGGAGGUAUCAGAAGUGCGAAUGCUGACAUAAGUAACGAUAAAGCGGGUGAAAAGCCCGCUCGCCGGAAGACCAAGGGUUCCUGUCCAACGUUAAUCGGGGCAGGGUGAGUCGACCCCUAAGGCGAGGCCGAAAGGCGUAGUCGAUGGGAAACAGGUUAAUAUUCCUGUACUUGGUGUUACUGCGAAGGGGGGACGGAGAAGGCUAUGUCAGCCGGGCGACGGUUGUCCCGGUUUAAGCAUGUAGGCGGAGGUUCCAGGUAAAUCCGGUACCUUUUAACGCUGAGGUGUGAUGACGAGGCACUACGGUGCUGAAGUGAUAAAUGCCCUGCUUCCAGGAAAAGCCUCUAAGCAUCAGGUAACACGAAAUCGUACCCCAAACCGACACAGGUGGUCAGGUAGAGAAUACCAAGGCGCUUGAGAGAACUCGGGUGAAGGAACUAGGCAAAAUGGUGCCGUAACUUCGGGAGAAGGCACGCUGAUGUGUAGGUGAAGCCCCUGCGGGCGGAGCUGAAAUCAGUCGAAGAUACCAGCUGGCUGCAACUGUUUAUUAAAAACACAGCACUGUGCAAACACGAAAGUGGACGUAUACGGUGUGACGCCUGCCCGGUGCCGGAAGGUUAAUUGAUGGGGUUAGCGGCAACGCGAAGCUCUUGAUCGAAGCCCCGGUAAACGGCGGCCGUAACUAUAACGGUCCUAAGGUAGCGAAAUUCCUUGUCGGGUAAGUUCCGACCUGCACGAAUGGCGUAAUGAUGGCCAGGCUGUCUCCACCCGAGACUCAGUGAAAUUGAACUCGCUGUGAAGAUGCAGUGUACCCGCGGCAAGACGGAAAGACCCCGUGAACCUUUACUAUAGCUUGACACUGAACACUGGUCCUUGAUGUGUAGGAUAGGUGGGAGGCUUUGAAGCGUGGACGCCAGUCUGCGUGGAGCCAACCUUGAAAUACCACCCUUUAAUGGCUGGUGUUCUAACGUAGACCCGUAAUCCGGGUUGCGGACAGUGUCUGGUGGGUAGUUUGACUGGGGCGGUCUCCUCCCAAAGAGUAACGGAGGAGCACGAAGGUUGGCUAAUCCUGGUCGGACAUCAGGAGGUUAGUGCAAUGGCAUAAGCCAGCUUGACUGCGAGCGUGACGGCGCGAGCAGGUGCGAAAGCAGGUCAUAGUGAUCCGGUGGUUCUGAAUGGAAGGGCCAUCGCUCAACGGAUAAAAGGUACUCCGGGGAUAACAGGCUGAUACCGCCCAAGAGUUCAUAUCGACGGCGGUGUUUGGCACCUCGAUGUCGGCUCAUCACAUCCUGGGGCUGAAGUAGGUCCCAAGGGUAUGGCUGUUCGCCAUUUAAAGUGGUACGCGAGCUGGGUUUAGAACGUCGUGAGACAGUUCGGUCCCUAUCUGCCGUGGGCGCUGGAGAAUUGAGGGGGGCUGCUCCUAGUACGAGAGGACCGGAGUGGACGCAUCACUGGUGUUCGGGUUGUCAUGCCAAUGGCACUGCCCGGUAGCUAAAUGCGGAAGAGAUAAGUGCUGAAAGCAUCUAAGCACGAAACUUGCCCCGAGAUGAGUUCUCCCUGAGACUUUAAGUCUCCUGAAGGAACGUUGAAGACGACGACGUUGAUAGGUCGGGUGUGUAAGCGCAGCGAUGCGUUGAGCUAACCGAUACUAAUGAACCGUGAGGCUUAACCUU